ACAAGAAGAGAGACGCUUGAUGAAAAAAAAAACAUGACCUCAAGUUGGAAUUUCUUUUAUUUUCUCAGGACAGUGAAAUAUGAAGCUGCACUGACUCAAAAAAAAAAAAAAAAAGCUUAAACUAUGGAGGUGAAAUCCAGUUCAGACAUGAGGGAAAAAUCUAAUUAUUAGGUUUUUAUGAUGUUUUGUUUCAUUUUCAGCAAAUUUGACAUCAAUUGGUGUCUGUCCACCAAACUGCUUCAUCAUUUACAACCGAGAGUCUAAAGUUACCACAGCAUAUUUGUUGUUUCUAGAAUAAUAUUUGGUGGAAGGAGCAAAAUACGUGGAAAUAUUAAAAGAUCUAUGACUGGCUGCAAAAAUCAACUUAACUUUUAACGGAGUACAUUUCAGUUUGGGGUUUUACGUGAAGAAUUAAAAAGAGGUCGGGUGGGGAUGCACUUCAACAAGGCACAGUAUCUUUAUAUCACUAUCCACAGCCGGGUGAAGCAUGUUUAUGAGCCAGCAGACAAGAACAACAGACUGAGGAGCACUUGAACUACAUCGUUAUCCUCUUGUACUUUGCUUUUAGGCAGCACUACAUGCAUCAUGCUGCCGCUUCAAAGACUGUGUGAAGUGCCAAAUUGUAAAGGAGCGAGGGAAAUGUUCAAGGUUUAAAUAAUUGGGAGGAAGCAGCAGAGAGUUGGGGGCUGAACUAGAGCUGUGCUCUUAAUCUUAUUGUACUGCUUACUGUACAAGGAUAAUCAAUCUAAAAGUCAAAAACGCCGCACCCUUAAAAGAAAUCCAGCAACAACGCAUAUACAAAAAAUAAAAAAUAAAAAUUGUGGUGACAGGAAACAAAAGUUAAGGUAAAGCCAAGAAUUUAGAAGUGUCAUUUAGCGGUUUUGAAAACCACGAGACGUUUCUCUCCUGCAAUGCCAGACCAGAAAAACAAAAACAUAACAAAGAAACCGCAAAAGAUCUUGUGAAAACUAAAGCGACGCGCUAAAAAAAAAAAAAAAGACAAUUUAAAGCUGCAGUAGCUAGAAACAAUCUGUUAGGCAUCUGGCUACAGAACUCGACUAAUUAUUUGAAAUAACAGCAAAUAAGGCCAUUUUUAUACAGUUUUACCACUGCACGUUAUUCCAGUAGUUUCACUUUAUUGGCUCAUAACUACUAAGUGGUAAAUACUAUAAUACUGUAAUAUAAGACCAAAUUUGUAUGAGUCAUUUUUGUAAAUAGGUCAAUGUUUUUUGAAUACCAUUUUGUGAAAUAACACUUCUUUUUUCUUUUUAGCUACCAUUAAAGACCUACCGGAUUUGAUCAAAACUAGGACGGGGUUAAAAAGUACCACAAGCUUCUAGAUAUAAGUCUUCUGAGGUUUACAUUUACUGCCUUUUUAUUAGUGAGAUUUCAUACAGAUGAUGUAGAAAAGCAGCGAUGCAGUUCCUCCCCCCUGCUUCAGGUCUGCGAGUUCGGAACAUAUUUCUUAAUAGAGCUCCAGUGGGAGGCAGACCUACUUCUUUGUGUUCUCCAAGUGAUUCACAUGGCUGGAGGCUUUGCUCUCGGACCUCUGAAACAACAACACCACCACCACCACCAUCAUCAUCAUGGGAGGGAUGAAAGUACACUGACAUUGUUGGACUAUACCCACAGCUCUGCCCAGAAACCUUGGAGCCGCUCUGCCUGCGCAGCGAUACGCGGAAACAAGCGAGCAAGGACAAACCAGAGUUAGCAAAGGACAAGGACCGCAUGCAGCUCUUGAGUAAAACACCAAGGUUUUCUCCACAGCGCAAAUAUGCAACACGAAAAUACGCAAACAACAAAUAUCCUGCUACUGAGACAAUAACAUUGAUUUUAACAGGAAUAAGUACCUGCA